GGCCCAGUGGUGUAGUGGUAACAUGUCCUCUUCAUUUAGUUCAUAUGGAAGGCGCCUAUUCAGAGGAAGUACCCUGUUCGAUUCGGGGCUGGGCUA